AUCAGCCCUCGAGGACCAGGAGUGCCCACCCCUGGUUUAUGGUUUUCUCAUUGGAUUUCCACAAAGAAUCAGAUCCGCUGUUUCUCCUACUGCCAGUUACCUGCUCUGCCGUUCAUCAUUCCUCCAUCCUGCUUCAUCAGACCCCUGGUUCCACCCUCCUCACACUAAUCUGAGGCUUCACCAUCAACCAUUCUCCACACAGGACCCUGGCCAUCUUUUCCUCCACACCUCACUCUAAAUCAUUUUAAAACGCCACCGAUCUCAUGACCCUUUCCAUCCUCCUGAAGGAUCAAGAUCUGUUAGUUGUUUAUUUCUUUAAAAAUAAAACCAAUUCCUUAUUUGGACUCUGUUGAUUCUGCAUGUGGGUCAGGAGGUUAAAUCUGACCCACAUCCUACAUCCUACAGUUUAAGAUGUUUUGAAAUGGGUGUGCUGUGGUGCCCUAGGGGAUAGCGUGACCCAUGUUCGGAGGUCUUGAGUCCUCGACGCGGCUGUCGCAGGUUCGAAUCCCGG